rnacentral:rRNA from 1 species
CCUACGGGAGGCAGCAGUGAGGAAUAUUGGUCAAUGGACGAGAGUCUGAACCAGCCAAGUAGCGUGAAGGAUGACUGCCCUAUGGGUUGUAAACUUCUUUUAUAUGGGAAUAAAACGUUCCACGUGUGGGAUUUUGUAUGUACCAUAUGAAUAAGGAUCGGCUAACUACGUGCCAGCAGCCGCGGUAAUACGGAGGAUCCGAGCGUUAUCCGGAUGUAUUGGGUUUAACGGGAGCGGAGGUGGAUUGGUAAGUCAGUUGUGAAAGUGUGCGGCUCAACCGUAAAAUUGCAGUUGAAACUGGCAGUCUUGAGUACAGUAGAGGUGGGCGGAAUUCGUGGUGUAGCGGUGAAAUGCUUAGAUAUCACGAAGAACUCCGAUUGCGAAGGCAGUUCACUGGACUGCAACUGACACUGAGGCUCGAAAGUGUGGGUAUCAAACAGGAGUAGAUACCCCAGUAGUC